AUGAAUUCUACGAACAAGCCAUGUGAUGACCAAGAAAAUGUUGACCCAAAUGUGCAAUUAACUAGUGAGUUUCUUAGUGCCGCAAAGCUCAAGAAAAAGGAGGUUCAAUCAAAAAAAUUGAGGAGAAAAAAAAGUUGGCUUGAUAAGCUACUCAAGGGGAAGCGCAAGCCAACUAAAGUUGCCUCUUCCAAAAAAAAGGAGCAAAGCAACAAAAAAAAUGAUGGUGGACAGGCUCAAGUGAGAGUGGAAAAGGACGAUGACGCUGAAAGAGCAAAUGUGGAGCUUCAAGAGGGCAACACGGCCAUCAGUUACACACAGCUCUUAAUGGCUCCCCCUGGUGGUUUUUAUGAUGAAGAUCUGAUCUAA
rnacentral:rRNA from 1 species